AUAAAGUGUCCAGGGAUGGGAAUCGAACCCACAGUGUUCCGCUUACCGGGCAGAUGCCAUGUCCACUAGGCUAUAGUUCA
rnacentral:tRNA from 1 species